UACGAAGGGGCUAGCGUUGUUCGGAAUUACUGGGCGUAAAGCGCGCGCAGGCGGUCUUCCAAGUCAGUGGUGAAAGCCCGGAGCUCAACUCCGGAACUGCCAUUGAAACUGUGAGACUUGAGUACGAGAGAGGUGAGUGGAAUUCCCAGUGUAGAGGUGAAAUUCGUAGAUAUCGGGAGGAACACCAGUGGCGAAGGCGGCGAUCUGGGAAGAUACUGACGCUGAGGUGCGAAAGCGUGGGGAGCAAACAGGG
rnacentral:rRNA from 1 species